UUCACAGAGAUCGGACAUAGCCAUGCGUUAUACUUCCCGAUAGACACUCAAGAGUAGGCUUUGAAAACAAACCGGAAAGUGUGCGUUUUAAAGACGCAGGCUAGUCAAUAGUGUGAAAGAAUCUAAUUUUCGGUACGAGAAACACAUUAUGGCGUUUGUAAUUGGUUGUUAGAAGACAAGGUUGAUACAACUUUCUUAUUCAAACAUCAAAAGCAAGCUGUUAUAAGUUGAUUUACGUCUAGUUAUGUGCUUUGGGAAAGCACCCGACUCCGGGACAGAUGGAGCACCAAAGGUUGAGCUCUCUGUUGGUGGUCAUAUGAUAUGAUUAAAAAAACUGCUAUCUUGUAAGCUAGGAGAUAAGGCCCGAACAAACCGGAAAGUGUGCGUUUUAAAGACGCAGGCUAGUCAAUAGUGUAGAAGAAUCUAAUUUUCGGUACAAGAAACACAUGGCGCUUGUAAUUGCUUGUAAGGACAUGAUAUAAUUUUUCUUGUUCAAACAUCAAAGCAAGCUGUUAUUAGUUGAUUUAUAGUUGAUUUACGUCUUUAAAGCUAGCUAUGUGCUUUUGGUUUGCUUUAUUUUGGGUAUAAGUUCAUAAUAUUUCCUACAUUCAUGUCACCAUCCUGGGCUUACAUUCAAAGUAGUGGACUACAAUUUAUUUCAUUGAGCAUUUUUGUCUAUAGUUUGGUGAGCUUGAGUAUAAGCAGGGUAUAAAUAACAAUGUCAAGUAAUUUAUCCCUUAGGAUAAAACCAAUCGCAUGUCUAUUAGUGCGUUCGAAAAUGCAACGGUCUAGAUAUUCAUGCAAGCAUGAGAUCAAGAGACAGAUAUAGGCAUGGAAAGGCAGUGAAAAUAUUAUAUCCUCGCAAACUUUAAACACCGCCAGAUUACUGUUUUCCAAAAGUAGUUGUUUAUCCGAGAACUAGACAUUUUGCUGCCAAUAAACAGUGAACAAUACGCUCUGAGAAUAAAGCCGAUGUUUUGGGAUGUUGGCGCGUUCUAGAGACCCCUUUUAGGGGUAGCGAUGGGUAAGUUCGAGAUUUGCCGAGGCGCCAAGACCGCGUUUUAGAAUCCGAGCCCGAGACUUUAAGUCAAAUUUCGGAAUCCGUGUCCGAGCUUUUACUAGCUUGUGUUCGGACAUCAGAUAACUUGCUCGAGAAAGACAUGACAUAUUUGGUAUAGCGAAAAGAGAUUCUGGGAGAGCUGUGCAAA